rnacentral:rRNA from 1 species
UACGAAGGGGGCUAGCGUUGCUCGGAAUUACUGGGCGUAAAGGGCGCGUAGGCGGAUAGUUUAGUCAGAGGUAAAAGCCCAGGGCUCAACCUUGGAACUGCCUUUGAUACUGGCUAUCUUGAGUUCGGGAGAGGUGAGUGGAAUGCCGAGUGUAGAGGUGAAAUUCGUAGAUAUUCGGCGGAACACCAGUGGCGAAGGCGACUCACUGGCCCGAUACUGACGCUGAGGCGCGAAAGCCAGGGGAGCAAACGGG